rnacentral:miRNA from 1 species
AUAUAAAUCACCUGGGCAUCUUUGAAAAUAUAGAUUCUGAUUCAGCAACUUUGGGCAGGGCCUGAGAGUCUGCAGUUUUAUGAGCUCCCAGGUGAUACUCAU